UGAAUCCGCGCGGGAGAGUCCCGGGGUACGUGUACCCGGGCGCCGAAGGAGCAAGUCCCUCCCUUGAAUCUCUCAGGCCCCGUUACCGCGCGGGCGAG
rnacentral:ncRNA from 2 species